rnacentral:rRNA from 1 species
AGGGCGUAUGGUGGAUGCCUUGGCAGACAGGACCGAUGAAGGACGUUUGAGGCUGCGAUAUGCCUCGGGGAGCCGCCAACAGGGCUUUGAUCCGAGGAUUUCCGAAUGGGGGAACCCACCGACCGUCAUGGGUCGGUACCGGCUUCGGCCGGGGGGUACGCAGGGAAGUGAAACAUCUCAGUACCUGCAGGAAAGGAUAUUCCGUGAGUAGUGGCGAGCGAAAGCGGAUGAUGGCCAAACCUUGCGCGUGUGAUGCCCGUCGGGGGUUGCGCGCGGGGUGUUGCGGGAUCGCGUGCGCCGGCUCCGACGGGCCGGCCGGCAGUUGCAGAAAACCAUGUGUCAGGGGAACCGGGUUGAAUACCGGGCCGCAGAGGGUGAGGGCCCCGUACCUGAACGCGCAUGGUCUGCCGAUCGCGUCUCCCAAGUAGCACGGGUCCCGUGGAACCCCGUGCGAAUCCGCCCAGACCGUUGGGUAAGCCUGAAUAUUCCUGUCUGACCGAUAGCGAACGAGUACCGUGAGGGAAAGGUGAAAAGUACCCCGGGAGGGGAGUGAAACAGUCUCUGAAACCGUGCGCCUACAAUCCGUCGGAGCCCUUUUGUGGGGUGACGGCGUGCCUAUCGAAAAAUGAGUCUGCGAGUCAGUGGCAUGUGGCGAGCAUAACCCGUGUGGGGUAUGCGUAGCGAAGGCGAGUCUUAAAAGGCGUUUGAGUCGCGUGUCCUGGACCCGAAGCGGGAUGAUCUAGCCCUGAGCAGGUUGAAGCGCGGGUAAGACCGCGUGGAGGACCGAACCCACCUGGGUUGAAAACCGGGGGGAUGACUUGGGGUUAGGGGUGAAAGGCCAAUCAAAUUCCGUGAUAGCUGGUUCUCUCCGAAAUGCAUUUGGGUGCAGCGUCGGGUCAUUACGUCCCGGGGGUAGAGCUACUGGAUGCUUGCGGGCCCGUAUCGGGUACCAACAGCAACCAAACUCCGAAUACCGGUGACGCGUAUCCCGGCAGUGAGUCGGCGGGGGAUAAGCUUCGUCGUCGAAAGGGAAACAGCCCAGACCGUCGUCUAAGGUCCCGAAGCGUGUGCUAAGUGGGAAAGGAUGUGGAGUCGCAUAGACAGCCAGGAGGUUGGCUCAGAAGCAGCCACCCUUGAAAGAGUGCGUAACAGCUCACUGGUCUAGUGGUUCCGCGCCGACAAUGUAGCGGGGCUCAAGCACACCACCGAAGACGCGGCAGUAUUUUGUACUGGGUAGGAGAGCGUCCCAUGAGGGGCGAAGCGGCCGUGUGAACGCGCCGUGGACUUCAUGGGAGUGAGAAUGCAGACAUGAGUAGCGAGAGACGGGUGAAGAUCCCGUCCGCUGGAUGACCAAGGGUUCCAGGGCCACGUUCAUCGUCCCUGGGUGAGUCGGGUCCUAAGGCGAGGCCGACAGGCGUAGUCGAAUGGAUGAACGGGUCGAUAUUCCCGUACCGGCUUUCAGCCGCCAAAACCGAGGCUUGGAGUACUAACCUCCGGGUCCGGGCUUACUGCUCCUUCGGGGGCGGGAUGCCCUGGCCUGUUGGGACCGAUCCUUGUAGUAGGUCAGCGCAGGAGUGACGCAGAAGGGUAGCCGGCCGCGGAGGUGGUCUUCCGUGGUCAAGCACGCAGGGCGUGGGACAGGCAAAUCCGUCCCGCAUGGGUCCGAGGUGCGAUGAUGGGGGCCUUAUGGCCCGAUAUCCGGUGAUCCCGGCUGCCGAGAAAAGCUUCGGCGUCAGGCUCAAAGCCGCCCGUACCCCAAACCGACACAGGUGGUCAGGUAGAGAAUACCAAAGCGAUCGAGCGAAUCCUGGUCAAGGAACUCGGCAAAUCACUCCCGUUCCUUCGGUUUAAGGGAGACCCCCGAUGGUGAACACACUUGCUGUGGGAGCUUUUGGGGGUGGCACAGACCAGGGGGUAGCGACUGUUUACCAAAAACACAGGUGCAUGCGAAGGCGCAAGCCGCUGUAUAUGCACUGACGCCUGCCCGGUGCCGGAAGGUUAAGAGGAUCCGUCAGCCUUCGGGUGAAGCGGUGAAUUCAAGCCCCGGUAAACGGCGGUGGUAACUAUAACCAUCCUAAGGUAGCGAAAUUCCUUGUCGGGUAAGUUCCGACCUGCACGAAUGGCGUAACGACUUCCCCGCUGUCUCCAACAUAGGCUCAGCGAAAUUGAACUCUGAGUUAAGAUGCUCAGUACCCGCGGUUAGACGGAAAGACCCCGUGAACCUUUACUAUAGCUUUGCAGUGGUAUUAGGUAAUAGAUGUGUAGAAUAGGUGGGAUGCUAUGAAGCAGGGACGCUAGUUCUUGUGGAGCAGACUUUGAAAUACCACCCUUUUGUUAUUUGAUAUCUAACCUGCUCCCGUAGAUCCGGGAGAGGGACCCUGCAUGGUGGGUAGUUUGACUGGGGCGGUCGCCUCCCAAAGAGUAACGGAGGCGUGCGAAGGUUAGCUCAGACUGGUCGGAAAUCAGUCGUCGAGUGCAAUGGCAUAAGCUAGCCUGACUGCGAGAGAGACAUUUCGAGCAGAUACGAAAGUAGGUCAUAGUGAUCCGGUGGUCCCGAGUGGAAGGGCCAUCGCUCAACGGAUAAAAGGUACUCCGGGGAUAACAGGCUGAUUCCGCCCAAGAGUUCACAUCGACGGCGGAGUUUGGCACCUCGAUGUCGGCUCAUCACAUCCUGGGGCUGGAGAAGGUCCCAAGGGUUCGGCUGUUCGCCGAUUAAAGU